rnacentral:tRNA from 1 species
GGCUCCAUAGUGUAGUGGUUAGCACAUCCACCUUACAUGCAGAAGGUCCUGAGUUCACGCCCCAGGUGGAACCA